rnacentral:rRNA from 2 species
UACAUAAACGACUCUCGGCAACGGAUAUCUCGGCUCUCGCAUCGAUGAAGAACGCAGCAAAAUGCGAUACUUGGUGUGAAUUGCAGAAUCCCGUGAACCAUCGAGUUUUUGAACGCAAGUUGCGCCCGAAGCCAUUAGGCUGAGGGCACGUCUGCCUGGGCGUCUCAC